rnacentral:rRNA from 1 species
AGAAUCCCGCGAACCAUCGAGUUUUUGAACGCAAGUUGCGCCCGAGGCCUUCUGGUUGAGGGCACGCCUGCCUGGGCGUCACGCCAAAAGACACUCCCAACCCAUCCUUGGGUACGGACGUGGUGUUUGGCUCCCCACGCCUCGUGGCGUGGUGGGCUGAAGUUGGGGCUGCCGGCAUACCGUGUCGGGCACCUGCAUGUGGUGGGCGACAUAAGUUGUUCUCGGUGCAGUGUGCAGGCACGCAGCUAGCUCCUUGGCCUAAAGGACCCAUUUACGACCGUAGCGCCUUGGUGCUCGGACCGCGACCCCAGGUCAGGCGGGACUACCCGCUGAGUUUAAGCAUAUAAAUAAGCGGAGGAGAAGAAACUUACAAGGAUUCCCCUAGUAACGGCGAGCGAACCGGGAGUAGCCCAGCUUGAGAAUCGGGUAGCCUCACUACCCGAAUU